UCCGUAGGUGAACCUGCGGAAGGAUCAUUAGUGAUUGCCAUCUUGGCUUAAACUAUAUCCAUCUACACCUGUGAACCGUUUGAUUGAAUCUUCUGAUUCAAUUUUACAAACAUUGUGUAAUGAACGUCAUUAGAUCAUAACAAAAAAAAACUUUUAACAACGGAUCUCUUGGCUCUCGCAUCGAUGAAGAACGCAGCGAAAUGCGAUAAGUAAUGUGAAUUGCAGAAUUCAGUGAAUCAUCGAAUCUUUGAACGCAACUUGCGCUCUCUGGUAUUCCGGAGAGCAUGCCUGUUUGAGUGUCAUGAAAUCUCAACCAUUAGGGUUUCUUAAUGGCUUGGAUUUGGAGGUUGCCAUUCUAAAUGGCUCCUCUUAAAGGAGUUAGCAGGUUUUACUAUUGCUAUCUGGCGUAAUAAGUUUCGCUGGAAUGGUAUUGUGAAGCGUGCUUCUAAUCGUCUUCGGACAAUUACUUUGACUCUGGCCUCAAAUCAGGUAGGACUACCCGCUGAACUUAAGCAUA
rnacentral:rRNA from 1 species